UACGAAGGGGGCUAGCGUUGCCCGGAAUCACUGGGCGUAAAGCGCACGUAGGCGGCUUUUUACGUCAGGGGUGAAAUCCCGGGGCUCAACCCCGGAACUGCCCUUGAAACUGGAGAGCUAGAAUCUUGGAGAGGCGAGUGGAAUUCCGAGUGUAGAGGUGAAAUUCGUAGAUAUUCGGAAGAACACCAGUGGCGAAGGCGACUCGCUGGACAAGUAUUGACGCUGAGGUGCGAAAGCGUGGGGAGCAAACAGG
rnacentral:rRNA from 1 species